rnacentral:rRNA from 1 species
UACGUAGGGUGCGAGCGUUAAUCGGAAUUACUGGGCGUAAAGCGUGCGCAGGCGGUUUUGUAAGCCAGAUGUGAAAUCCCCGGGCUUAACCUGGGAAUGGCAUUUGGGACUGCAAGGCUGGAGUGCGGCAGAGGAGACUGGAAUUCCUGGUGUAGCAGUGAAAUGCGUAGAUAUCAGGAGGAACACCGAUGGCGAAGGCAGCUCGCUGGGACGGUACUGACGCUGAGACGCGAAAGCGUGGGGAGCAAACAGG